AUCAAGUCAUGGUAAGUGACCAUCAUGAAAGAUAAAGAUGGUACAUUUCAACAUGAUAAGAUCUGCUGCUAUGAAUAUUACUGAGUUACCUGUUACAUCUCAGGACAACAGGUGUGUACUUGUGGUUUAAAGACUACUUUACACGCUAUGUCAACCUUUUCCAGCGUGUCUUUACAGUAGCAAAAUGUAUGUUUGAGGACUAUAUCAGACAACAUGGGUUGCCAGAGUGUAGUCACACAGACCAGGUAGGCAAUUGGAGUCAGACCUUGUAAAACACUUUGGAAAACCUUGCUGGAAUAGUUACCUCUACUGCCCCCCAGUGGCCGUUAGAAAGGAUGCACACAUUUUGUGUUGAAGUCCUUAAAGCUGUCUUUCACUUUUUGUCUUGUCCUUUGUGUCCCAGAUGAAGUCGUGAGUGGCUCGGGGGAGGAUAGGCGGGACAUUAGCUUUUCUUUUUUACAAGAACUUUGCUGACAAAGUGCAAGUGUUUGUGGGCGUUACUGUACAUGUUGGUAUUGAUCACACCACCCAGUAAAUACAGGGAACGUUUUCAAAAUCAUUAAAUGAUUUUAGACUUUCAUUUUGUGAACAAUAUAAACAUAUAUUAAUAUAAACAUAUGGAGGAGUCAGAUGGGGUGGUUAGGGCAUCUGGUCAGGAUGCCACCUGAACGCAUAGGGAGGUGUUUAGGACACGUCUGACCGGUAGGAGGCCACCAGGAAGACCCAAGACACCUUGGGAACGCCUCGGGAUCCAGGAGCUGGACGAAGUGGCUGGGGAGAGCGAAGUGUGGGUUUCCCUGCUUAGGCUGCUGCCCCCGCGACCCGACCUCAGAUAAGCGGAAGAAGACGGAUGGAUGGAUGAAUAAACAUAUAUGAAUACAACAAUAGUCGUGUGGAGAGAGAGUUUGGCCAACCCGGGUUUGGAGUCAGUGUCUAACAAGGCGCCCUCUAGUCACCUGAGGGGAUUUGACCAACUAUUACAUCUUAUGCUGUUGCUAUGUACCUAUCUUUAAUGUUUAUAGUACACAAUGAAUCAUAUUUAGCUGUGAAAUGUGUGUUUUUUAUGAUGUUAGACGAUCUCUGAUUACAUCACUUGUCCAUGCCAGCUAACUUU